rnacentral:rRNA from 1 species
AGCAGCCGCAGUAAUUCCAGCUCCAAUAGCGUAUAUUAAGGUUGCUGCAGUUAAAAAGCUCGUAGUUGAAUUUCGGGACCAAUAUGUCGGUCGUGCUUCGGUACGUACUGGCAUCGUUGGUUUCUCCCUUCUGAUGAACCAUGAUGUCAUUCAUUUGGUGUCGUGGGGAAUCAGGACUGUUACUUUGAAAAAUUAGAGUGUUUAAAGCAGGCUCACGCUUGAAUACAUUAGCAUGGAAUAAUGAAAUAGGACGUUUGAUUCUAUUUUGUUGGUUUCUAGGAUCAACGUAAUGAUUAAUAGGGAUAGUUGGGGCAUUAGUAUUCAAUUGUCAGAGGUGAAAAUUCUUGG